UGGGGAAUCCUGCACAAUGGGCGAAAGCCUGAUGCAGCGACGCCGCGUGCGGGAUGAAGGCCUUCGGGUUGUAAACCGCUUUCAGCAGGGACGAGGCGAAAGUGACGGUACCUGCAGAAGAAGCCCCGGCUAACUACGUGCCAGCAGCCGCGGUAAUACGUAGGGGGCAAGCGUUAUCCGGAUUCAUUGGGCGUAAAGCGCUCGUAGGCGGUCUGUUAGGUCGGGAGUUAAAUCCGGGGGCUCAACCCCCGUUCGCUCCCGAUACCGGCAGACUUGAGUUUGGUAGGGGAAGGUGGAAUUCCUAGUGUAGCGGUGGAAUGCGCAGAUAUUAGGAAGAACACCAGUGGCGAAGGCGGCCUUCUGGGCCAUAACUGACGCUGAGGAGCGAAAGCUAGGGGAGCAAACAGGAUUAGAUACCCUGGUAGUCCUAGCCGUAAACGAUGGACACUAGGUGUGGGGGAAUAUUUCUUCCGUGCCGCAGCUAACGCAUUAAGUGUCCCGCCUGGGGAGUACGGCCGCAAGGCUA
rnacentral:rRNA from 1 species